rnacentral:rRNA from 1 species
GACAGAGGCCUCAAGCGUUAGGCGGAAUCACUGGGCUUAAAGCGUGUGUAGGCGGAUCGUUAAGUGCCUUGUGAAAUCCCACGGCUUAACUGUGGAACGGCUGGGCAUACUGGCGGUCUUGAGCCAUCUAGGGGCGACUGGAACAAACGGUGGAGCGGUGAAAUGCGUAGAGAUCCGGAGGAAGACCGGUGGCGAAGGCGGCCUGCUGGGCAGUUACUGACACUGAGGCGCGACAGCGUGGGGAGCAAACAGG